UACCUACGGGAGGCAGCAGUCGGGAAUAUUGCGCAAUGGAGGAAACUCUGACGCAGUGACGCCGCGUAUAGGACGAAGGUCUUCGGAUUGUAAACUAUUGUCGUUAGGGAAGAGAAAGGACAGUACCUAAGGAGGAAGCUCCGGCUAACUACGUGCCAGCAGCCGCGGUAAUACGUAGGGAGCAAGCGUUAUCCGGAUUUAUUGGGUGUAAAGGGUGCGUAGAUGGCAUAGUAAGUCUUUUGUAAAAAUGCUGGGCUCAACCCAGUAGGUCA
rnacentral:rRNA from 1 species